rnacentral:rRNA from 1 species
UACGGAGGGAGCGAGCGUUGUCCGGAAUUACUGGGCGUAAAGGGCGCGUAGGCGGCCGCAUAAGUCGCGUGUGAAAGGCCGGGGCUCAACCCCGCGCAUGGCACGCGAUACUGCGCGGCUGGAGAAAGGUAGGGGCGAGCGGAAUUCCCGGUGUAGCGGUGGAAUGCGUAGAUAUCGGGAGGAACACCGGUGGCGAAGGCGGCUCGCUGGGCCUUUUCUGACGCUGAAGCGCGAAAGCGUGGGGAGCAAACAGG